rnacentral:snoRNA from 1 species
CCUCUCCAGCUGUACCUGCUGAAUUCACCCAUGUUCUAGUCAGGUAUUGAAUAUGGAGAGAGAGAGUGCUGCAGAGGAGAUACCCAUUCCACCUCAAGCUCUGCCCAUAGCCUGCAGGUGGAAGAUAAUCUGCAACAGAU